AACGAACGCUGGCGGCAGGCCUAACACAUGCAAGUCGAACGCCCGUAGCAAUACGGGAGUGGCAGACGGGUGAGUAACGCGUGGGAACGUGCCCUUCGGUUCGGAAUAACUCAGGGAAACUUGAGCUAAUACCGGAUACGUCCGUAAGGAGAAAGAUUUAUCGCCGAAGGAUCGGCCCGCGUCGGAUUAGCUAGUUGGUGAGGUAAUGGCUCACCAAGGCGACGAUCCGUAGCUGGUCUGAGAGGAUGAUCAGCCACACUGGGACUGAGACACGGCCCAGACUCCUACGGGAGGCAGCAGUGGGGAAUAUUGGACAAUGGGCGAAAGCCUGAUCCAGCCAUGCCGCGUGAGUGAAGAAGGCCUUAGGGUUGUAAAGCUCUUUCAGCGGGAAGAUAAUGACGGUACCCGCAGAAGAAGCCCCGCUAACUUCGUGCCAGCAGCCGCCGCGGU
rnacentral:rRNA from 1 species